AAGUCGUAACAAGGUUUCCGUAGGUGAACCUGCGGAAGGAUCAUUAACACGUAUCCAACGUUAAACCCCCCGUGAACCAAUGCCGUGCUCUCGUAGCCCAUGAUGAACAGCAAUCCCUGGUAAAUCAUUGUUGAACAGAUUUUGAUUCAGGGACCUCUGUUUGAAAGGCUCGUUACGAAUGUUGCGCUAGUAUCAGAGGCUUGGCUUCCCCAAACGGUUGGUGAAUGAAAGGUCGAACACCGGCCGGCGGACAAGUCUCAGGGCGAAAGCCCCCCUAAAACCCCACAGUUUCCCAUUAGGGCCGCGAUAAUCCGCAGCCCAAAAAACCCGAACAACUGUUAACAAUGGAUAUCUUGGUUCUC
rnacentral:misc_RNA from 1 species